AUGAACGCUGGCGGCGUGCCUAAUACCUGCAAGUCGAGCGAACGGACGAGAAGCUUGCUUCUCUGAUGUUAGCGGCGGACGGGUGAGUAACACGUGGAUAACCUACCUAUAAGACUGGGAUAACUUCGGGAAACCGGAGCUAAUACCGGAUAAUAUUUUGAACCGCAUGGUUCAAAAGUGAAAGACGGUCUUGCUGCCACUUAUAGAUGGAUCCGCGCUGCAUUAGCUAGUUGGUAAGGUAACGGCUUACCAAGGCAACGAUGCAUAGCCGACCUGAGAGGGUGAUCGGCCACACUGGAACUGAGACACGGUCCAGACUCCUACGGGAGGCAGCAGUAGGGAAUCUUCCGCAAUGGGCGAAAGCCUGACGGAGCAACGCCGCGUGAGUGAUGAAGGUCUUCGGAUCGUAAAACUCUGUUAUUAGGGAAGAACAUAUGUGUAAGUAACUGUGCACAUCUUGACGGUACCUAAUCAGAAAGCCACGGCUAACUACGUG
rnacentral:rRNA from 1 species